rnacentral:rRNA from 1 species
GUGGGGAAUAUUGCACAAUGGGGGAAACCCUGAUGCAGCAACGCCGCGUGAGUGAUGACGGUCUUCGGAUUGUAAAACUCUGUCUUUGGGGACGAUAAUGACGGUACCCAAGGAGGAAGCCACGGCUAACUACGUGCCAGCAGCCGCGGUAAUACGUAGGUGGCAAGCGUUGUCCGGAUUUACUGGGCGUAAAGGGAGCGUAGGUGGAUAUUUAAGUGGGAUGUGAAAUACUCGGGCUUAACCUGGGUGCUGCAUUCCAAACUGGAUAUCUAGAGUGCAGGAGAGGAAAGUAGAAUUCCUAGUGUAGCGGUGAAAUGCGUAGAGAUUAGGAAGAAUACCAGUGGCGAAGGCGACUUUCUGGACUGUAACUGACACUGAGGCUCGAAAGCGUGGGGAGCAAACAGGAUUAGAAACCCUGGUAGUCC